AUUGAACGCUGGCGGAAUGCUUUACACAUGCAAGUCGAACGGUAGAGGGGGCAACCCCUUGAGAGUGGCGAACGGGUGAGUAAUAUAUCGGAACGUGCCCAGUCGUGGGGAUAACGUAGCGAAAGCUACGCUAAUACCGCAUACGAUCUAUGGAUGAAAGCGGGGGAUCGCAAGACCUCGCGCGAUUGGAGCGGCCGAUAUCAGAUUAGGUAGUUGGUGAGGUAAAGGCUCACCAAGCCGACGAUCUGUAGCUGGUCUGAGAGGACGACCAGCCACACUGGGACUGAGACACGGCCCAGACUCCUACGGGAGGCAGCAGUGGGGAAUAUUGGACAAUGGGNGAAAGACCUGAUCCAGCAAUGCCGCGU
rnacentral:rRNA from 1 species